rnacentral:lncRNA from 1 species
CAUUCCUCCAAACGCAAUUAUUCCUGGCGGAAAUUGUAUUGAUACGGGAUGCGACGCCGACCGCAUGCGAUCUCUGGCGGUGGCACGGAGCACGCGAGGCGAGGCGCAGACGGUGGCGGGGCGAACGGAGGUGCGCAUGCACAGAGUGGAGCGGGGAAGGUGGGAUGUCCUCUUGUGGGUAAGAGGGCAGAUUAACAAUUUAUUAAAAUAUAAUCAAAUUUUGGCGGAAAUGACGGACAUUGCCGCACAGGAACAAGUCAAAGAAGUUAUUUCUCUAUUUUACUGUUGGGAAGUGAAGGGAUAAGUUUUGGAGCAGGG